rnacentral:rRNA from 1 species
GCUUAACCGGAGAAGUGCAUCGGAAACUGGGAGACUUGAGUGCAGAAGAGGACAGUGGAACUCCAUGUGUAGCGGUGGAAUGCGUAGAUAUAUGGAAGAACACCAGUGGCGAAGGCGGCUGUCUAGUCUGUAACUGACGCUGAGGCUCGAAAGCAUGGGUAGCGAACAGGAUUAGAUACCCUGGUAGUCCAUGCCGUAAACGAUGAGUGCUAAGUGUUGGAGGGUUUCCGCCCUUCAGUGCUGCAGCUAACGCAUUAAGCACUCCGCCUGGGGAGUACGACCGCAAGGUUGAAACUCAAAGGAAUUGACGGGGGCCCGCACAAGCGGUGGAGCAUGUGGUUUAAUUCGAAGCUACGCGAAGAACCUUACCAGGUCUUGACAUCUUCUGCCAAUCUUAGAGAUAAGACGUUCCCUUCGGGGACAGAAUGACAGGUGGUGCAUGGUUGUCGUCAGCUCGUGUCGUGAGAUGUUGGGUUAAGUCCCGCAACGAGCGCAACCCUUAUUGUCAGUUGCCAGCAUUCAGUUGGGCACUCUGGUGAGACUGCCGGUGAUAAACCGGAGGAAGGUGGGGACGACGUCAAAUCAUCAUGCCCCUUAUGACCUGGGCUACACACGUGCUACAAUGGUCGGUACAACG